CUAACAUGUGCGCGAGUCAAUGGGUCUCCUAAAACCCAAAGUCGUAAUGAAACGUGAAGGCCCUUCGCGGGCCUUGUGGCGAUCCCUGACCGCAAAGGGGUCCAAUCCACGGAGCAGCAUCGGCCCGCCCCAGGCGCUCUCUUGUCGCCUGGGCGGAGCGUGAGCGCACACAUUGGCACCCGAAAGAUAGAGAACUAUGCCCGGGCAGGACGAGGCCAGAGGAAACUCUAGUGGAGGUCCGAAGCGAUUCUGACGUGCAAAUCGAUCGUCCAACCCGGGUAUAGGGGCGAAAGACCAAUCGAACGAUCUGGUGACUGGUUCCCUCCGAAGUUUCCCUCAGGAUAGCUGGUGCUCGAUGGGAGAGCAGUCUCACCUUGUAAAGCGAAUGAUCAGAGGCAUUGGGGUCGAAACGUCCUCAACCUAUUCUCAAACUUUCAAUGGGUGUGUGGGAGGCUUUCUAGGUUUGGAGCCUCCCGCUGCGAUUAGAGUGCCAAGUGGGCCACUUUUGGUAAGCAGAAUUGGUGCUGUGGGGUGAACCAAACGCCGGGGUAAGACGCACAAGUAUCUAACGAAUGUUAGAUCCAGAAUAUUCUGCGAACAAGCGGUGACACGUGUGGGUUGAAGAAUUAUCUAUUUUUGCCCGAAGUUAUAGGUUAAACCAAACAGUGCUUCUGCGCUGGCCUGGUCGAUGAUUCCAUUUUGAAGGUGAAGGUGUGGUUGUAUAUAUAAUCCUUCAGGACAUGUAUCACAUCAGUGC
rnacentral:rRNA from 1 species